rnacentral:ncRNA from 1 species
GAAAAGACGUUGAACGAAAAAAGUAACAGAUAUUGGAACUAACAGAGAGAAACUGUCACCGGCUGAAAGCAGUUUUGAGCGAAAAAUCUGUGAAGUGCAUUCGGGAGUUGAUCUGGCGAAAGAGAGUGGAUUUUCCAGUAGUCAGAUACGUAUUACACACGUUACGUGUAUCGAGUGGAAGAUGUUUGAUAUCUUCUAUAAGAGUGGAACCGCGGAGUUAACUUCGUCUCUUGA